GACGAAGGGGGCAAGCGUUGUUCGGAAUUACUGGGCGUAAAGCGCGUGUAGGUGGUUAUCCAAGUCAGGCGUGAAAGCCUUGAGCUCAACUCAAGAAAUGCGCUUGAUACUGGGUGGCUAGAGGACCGGAGAGGAUAGUGGAAUUCCCAGUGUAGUGGUGAAAUACGUAGAGAUUGGGAAGAACACCAGUGGCGAAGGCGGCUAUCUGGACGGUUUCUGACACUAAGACGCGAAAGCGUGGGGAGCAAACAGC
rnacentral:rRNA from 1 species